GUUAAGCGACUAAGCGUACACGGUGGAUGCCCUGGCAGUCAGAGGCGAUGAAGGACGUGCUAAUCUGCGAUAAGCGUCGGUAAGGUGAUAUGAACCGUUAUAACCGGCGAUUUCCGAAUGGGGAAACCCAGUGUGUUUCGACACACUAUCAUUAACUGAAUCCAUAGGUUAAUGAGGCGAACCGGGGGAACUGAAACAUCUAAGUACCCCGAGGAAAAGAAAUCAACCGAGAUUCCCCCAGUAGCGGCGAGCGAACGGGGAGGAGCCCAGAGCCUGAAUCAGUGUGUGUGUUAGUGGAAGCGUCUGGAAAGGCGCGCGAUACAGGGUGACAGCCCCGUACACAAAAAUGCACAUACUGUGAGCUCGAUGAGUAGGGCGGGACACGUGGUAUCCUGUCUGAAUAUGGGGGGACCAUCCUCCAAGGCUAAAUACUCCUGACUGACCGAUAGUGAACCAGUACCGUGAGGGAAAGGCGAAAAGAACCCCGGCGAGGGGAGUGAAAAAGAACCUGAAACCGUGUACGU
rnacentral:rRNA from 1 species